GCGAUCCACUCAUUUCUGUAUUCUUUGUUGCUUCUUUACCAGAUCCAAACAAGUCUGGCAGCGAAGAAGUCGCCCUGAAUUGUCAAUCAGCAAAUGAUGCAAUGGGAGUGAGCAUAUAGUGAAAUGCAUGCCAAAACGACCUGUAAGGCCA